CGACCCCAGGUCAGGCGGGACUACCCGCUGAGUUUAAGCUUAAUCAAUAAAA
rnacentral:rRNA from 1 species